GACGAACGCUGGCGGCGUGCUUUAGGCAUGCAAGUCGAACGCGAAAGCCCCUUCGGGGGUGAGUAGAGUGGCGAACGGGUGAGUAACACGUGGGUAACCUGCCCCUCGCAGGGGGAUAACCGGGGGAAACCCCGGCUAAUACCCCGUACGCUUGCUGGGGCGCAUGCUCCGGCAAGGAAAGGUAGCUUCGGCCAUCCGGCGAGGGAGGGGCCCGCGGCCCAUUGGCUAGUUGGUGGGGUAACGGCCCACCAAGGCGACGAUGGGUAGCUGGCCUGAGAGGGUGGUCAGCCACACUGGGACUGAGACACGGCCCAGACUCCUACGGGAGGCAGCAGCCAGGAAUCUUGCGCAAGGGGCGAAAGCCUGACGCAGCAACGCCGCGUGGGCGAUGAAGGCCUUCGGGUCGUAAAGCCCUGUUGUCGGGGACGAAGGGCGAAGGGUUAAUAGCCCCUAGCCUGACGGUACCCGACGAGGAAGCCCCGGCUAACUACGUG
rnacentral:rRNA from 1 species